rnacentral:rRNA from 1 species
AAAGGAAUUGACGGGGGCCCGCACAAGCGGUGGAGCAUGUGGUUCAAUUCGAAGCAACGCGCAGAACCUUACCAACCUUUGACAUGUCCCGUAUGGGUUUCAGAGAUGAGAUCCUUCAGUUCGGCUGGCGGGAACACAGGUGCUGCAUGGCUGUCGUCAGCUCGUGUCGUGAGAUGUUGGGUUAAGUCCCGCAACGAGCGCAACCCUCGCCCUUAGUUGCCAUCAUUCAGUUGGGCACUCUAAGGGGACUGCCGGUGAUAAGCCGCGAGGAAGGUGGGGAUGACGUCAAGUCCUCAUGGCCCUUACAGGUUGGGCUACACACGUGCUACAAUGGCGGUGACAAUGGGAUGCAAUGGAGCAAUCCUGCGCAAAUCUCAAAAAGCCGUCUCAGUUCGGAUUGGGGUCUGCAACUCGACCCCAUGAAGUUGGAAUCGCUAGUAAUCGCAGAUCAGCACGCUGCGGUGAAUACGUUCCCGGGCCUUGUACACACCGCCCGU